AGCGAACGCUGGCGGCGUGCUUAACACAUGCAAGUCGAACGUGAAAUGUAGCAAUACAGAGUAAAGUGGCGUACGGGUGAGUAACACGUGGGUAAUCUACCAAAGAGCCUGGAAUAACCGACCGAAAGGUUGGCUAAUACUGGAUAGUUCAAAUGAAAUAUAAUGUUGCGAUUGGGAAAGGGAGCGAGCAAUCGCCUUCACUUUUUGAUGAGCCCGCGUCUGAUGGGCUAGUUGGUAGGGUAAUGGCCUACCAAGGCGACGAUCAGUAGCUGGUCGGAGAGGAUGAUCAGCCACACUGGAACUGAAACACGGUCCAGACUCCUACGGGAGGCAGCAGUGGGGAAUCUUGCGCAAUGGACGAAAGUCUGACGUAGCCACGCCGCGUGAGUGAAGAAGGCCUUCGGGUUGUAAAGCUCUGUCGGAAGGGACAAAAACGUUUAAGGUUAAUAGCCUUAGAUCUUGAUGGUACCUUCAAAGGAAGCACCGGCUAACUUCGUGCCAGCCGCCGCCGUAA
rnacentral:rRNA from 1 species